rnacentral:snRNA from 1 species
AUGCUUACUUUGGUAGCACAUAUACUAAAAUUGGAACAAUACAGAAAGAUUCACAUGGCCCCUGUGCAAGAAUGGCACAUGAAUCCACAAAGUAUUCAAUAUUUUU